rnacentral:rRNA from 1 species
UACGUAGGGUGCAAGCGUUGUCCGGAAUUAUUGGGCGUAAAGAGCUCGUAGGCGGUUUGUUGCGUCGGCUGUGAAAUCCCGAGGCUCAACCUCGGGUUCUGCAGUCGAUACGAGCAAACUAGAGUGUUGCAGGGGAGACUGGAAUUCCUGGUGUAGCGGUGAAAGUGACGCAGACUAUCAGGAGGAACACCGGUGGCGAAGGCGGGUCUCUGGGCAACAACUGACGCUGGAGGAGCGAAAGCGUGGGAGCGAACAGG